rnacentral:rRNA from 1 species
CGUAGGGGCAAGCGUUAUCCGGAAUUAUUGGGCGUAAAGAGUGCGUAGGUGGUUUUGUAAGCGCGAGGUGAAAGGCUAUGGCUCAACCAUAGUAAGCCUUGCGAACUGCAAGACUUGAGUGCAGGAGAGGAAAGUGGAAUUCCUAGUGUAGCGGUGAAAUGCGUAGAUAUUAGGAGGAACACCAGUGGCGAAGGCGACUUUCUGGACUGUAACUGACACUGAGGCACGAAAGCGUGGGGAGCAAACAGGAUUAGAUACCCUGGUAGUCCACGCCGUAAACGAUGAGCACUAGGUGUCGGGGUCGCAAGGCUUCGGCGCCGCAGUUAACGCAUUAAGUGCUCCGCCUGGGGAGUACGCACGCAAGUGUG